rfam:Oryza punctata chromosome 3, whole genome shotgun sequence.
CCUCCGUUCCAAAAUAAAAGAAUCCGUGUCCAAUGUUUGACCGUCCGUUUUAUUUGAAAAAUUUAUUAAAAAAAGAUCAAAAAUAAAGUACUAUUUAUGUUUUAUCAUCUAAUAAUAACAAAAAUACUAAUCAUAAUUUUUUUAAAAUAAGAUGAACGGUUAAAGGUUGAACAUGAACAGUGUAAAACUACACUUAUU